rnacentral:lncRNA from 1 species
CAAUGCAUCUCAAUACCAGCUGGUACUACUGCUGGUACUACUUUUUCAUUUGAAAAGCAUUAGUCCAGGACUAAUGAAGUUCACAAUCUGCCCAUGAAAAUAUGCAAAAUUUGGAGACUGGAAGUUUCUACAAGUACAAUGCCUGCAGUUCCCAAGCAAGGAUGUGAACCCACAUCAUGGGAGGUACACAAGGAGGAAUCAGUGGUGCCAGUGGCUCGGGAGGAAGGCAGGCUCAAGAGAUGGAUUGUGUCACACAGCUUCUCUGACUCCGUCCUCCCUCA